AAAUAAUAUAGCUUUAGUUGGUGUCCACUAGAGAAUGAAUAAAAUAAAAAAUAAAAUUUCAUUUGAGGAAUUAAAACAAUAAAAAAAUAUGAAUUUUUGUUCAACUUUUUCCUUAUCAAAAUUGCUUAGAGAAAUUUUUUCUUAUAAAUUUUUCCUCCAUGGAGAAUUUAAAAGAAAAAAGUGGGAUCUACUUUUCAAUAAUUUGACUAAAAUUUCAACAUAACUGGUAUAAAUUUUGAGAAACAAAGAAAUAAAAUAAUAAAUAUUCGUAAGAUGAUUAUGCCCGCAUGUACGGGUAAAACACCUAAUAAUAAGUAAUCAAAAAGGAAAAUUAGAAAAAAUAAUAAAAUCGGGUAAAACGUUUUGACGGGG
rnacentral:lncRNA from 1 species